UCCUACGGGAGGCAGCAGUUGGGAAUCUUGGACAAUGGGGGAAACCCUGAUCCAGCCAUGCCGCGUGAGUGAUGAAGGCCUUCGGGUUGUAAAGCUCUUUUACCCGGGAAGAUAAUGACUGUACCGGGAGAAUAAGCUCCGGCUAACUUCGUGCCAGCAGCCGCGGUAAUACGAAGGGGGCUAGCGUUGUUCGGAAUUACUGGGCGUAAAGCGCGCGCAGGUGGUUUCUCAAGUCAGUGGUGAAAGCCCGGAGCUCAACUCCGGAACUGCCAUUGAAACUGUGGAACUCGAGGACGAGAGAGGUGAGUGGAAUUCCCAGUGUAGAGGUGAAAUUCGUAGAUAUUGGGAAGAACACCGGUGGCGAAGGCGGCUCACUGGCUCGUAUCUGACACUCAAGCGCGACAGCGUGGGGAUCAAACAGGAUUAGAUACCCUGGUAGUCCACGCCGUAAACGAUGAUUGCUAGCCGUUGGGCAGCUUGCUGUUCAGUGGCGCAGCUAACGCAUUAAGCAAUCCGCCUGGGGAGUACGGCCGCAAGGUUGAAACUCAAAGGAAUUGACGGGGGCCCGCACAAGCGGUGGAGCAUGUGGUUUAAUUCGACGCAACGCGCAGAACCUUACCAGGGUUUGACAUCCUGUGACCGCUCCUUAAUGGGAGUUUUCCCGCAAGGGACACAGAGACAGGUGCUGCAUGGCUGUCGUCAGCUCGUGUCKUGAGAUGUUGGGUUAAGUCCCGCAACGAGCGCAACCCUCGCCUUUAGUUGCCAUCAUUCAGUUGGGCACUCUAGAGGGACCGCCGGCGACAAGCCGGAGGAAGGUGGGGAUGACGUCAAGUCCUCAUGGCCCUUACACCCUGGGCUACACACGUGCUACAAUGGCGGUGACAGUGGGCAGCUACUCCGCGAGGAGGAGCUAAUCCAAAAAGCCGUCUCAGUUCGGAUUGUUCUCUGCAACUCGAGAGCAUGAAGUCGGAAUCGCUAGUAAUCGUGGAUCAGCAUGCCACGGUGAAUACUUCCCGGGCCUUGUACACA
rnacentral:rRNA from 1 species